AUCCAGAUGACGAGUCCGAAAUAGAACGAAACGCGCAUCCUGGAU
rnacentral:hammerhead_ribozyme from 1 species